AUGGCUCAAAGCCUCCAGCUGCUCUGUGGGAGGGAGAAAAGACUGUCUAUUCCCAUAAGAUUACAGUCUCGGAAAUGCCAAGGAUAAGUUUUGCUCAGCCCUACAGGAUCUCUAUGGGUUGGAAUAAACUCUGGGUUGACUUGGCCUGGCUAGGUAUUGGCUGAAAGCGAGGAGGAUGUCAUUCUUCCUAGAGUGUGAAUAGUGACCUGCAUCUCAUCCUCAGCAGAAUCAAAUACAUUUAAUUAUUCUAUGUUGCAGUUGGAGGAAAUGAAACCUCUUAUCGAAGAGCCCCAGAAGUUAGUCAAAAAAAACUGUGACCUUUUUAACAAAAUUGGAGAGUAUGGCUUCCAAAAUGCGCUCAUAAUUCGCUACACCCAGAAAGUGCCACAAGUGUCAACGCCAACUCUCGUGGAGACCUCAAGAGGCCUAGGAAGAGUGGGCACCAAGUGCUGCUCACUUCCUGAGGCACA